ACAGGGUGCCGUGCAGAGAGCACUGGUUGUUGACAGUGGGAGGUGUAAGCCCCUGGAGUCGCAGCGGAAGUGCCCACGGGGAGGUGGCAUUUAAGUGGAGAGCCAUAAACUAAAAGGGAGGCGGCGCUGGGAGGAGCCGGGAGACUCACAAAUGGACAGCAGCCUGCAGGGGCCCACCAGGGGCCCCACGAGGGUGUGAGAUGGCCCCCUAGGGAUCAGAUCUGUGGCGUGGAGAAGGAACGAGACAACUUCCCUCCACCACAAGGCGGGGCUUCCAGAAGAUGGACAGGCAUCUACUUCCACCGGUCACCUUGAGGAUAAUCACGGUGUAAUCAGAAAGCUGAAGCAACAAGAGACCUCAACCGCACUACCUGGCCGGUAACACAGGAGCUGUCUCAGGAAGAAAGAGAAGGCACGCAGCAAGUGGUGACGGUUAAGAGGAUCCGCCACAGUGCUCGCUACAGGCAAGCUGCCCACGAUGAUGACGGCGGCUACACAGAGCAGCAAGGUCAUUCCCAGCCAAGGAAACACCCAUUGGCCACGGCCUUGACCAACGCAGGGAAGGAAUAUAGAGAGCCUUGGAUCCCAAACACUGGUUCCUGGGACAGUCAAUGUAAUAGGUGGGGAAGGACAGGAACAAGCAAAGAACACCAAGAAGGAGCAACCCAAGGAGGUAGGAGAAAACUCACGAAAGUGGGGUAUCCGGAACACCAGGUGAAGAAAGCAUUUUGGGAAGGAUGCUUUCAAUGGUGUUGAUAAGUCAUGGAGGGUGAGGACUGACUGAGAAUGUGCCCUUGGUUUGGCAACAUGGAAGUCAUUGCUUUGACAAGAGCAGUUUCAUUGAAAUGUUGAUGGAAUGCGUCCAUGUAUAGUGGUCACAGAUACAGAGUGAGGGCGGAUUCUGCUGAUACCUUCCUGGUGGCAAUAAGUAAUCACAGUUUCUGAAAAGUGAGAUAUAAAACUGCAUUUAAGCUAUGUUUUUAAUCGACACAGCGUUAUACUCCCAAAUAAUAAUGGCAGUCAUCAUUAAGCACUAACUAAGCCAUACUCAGGACCAGGUGCUUUGGGUACAUACAUUUUUU
rnacentral:lncRNA from 1 species